UACGUAGGGUGCAAGCGUUGUCCGGAAUUAUUGGGCGUAAAGAGCUCGUAGGCGGUCUGUCGCGUCUGCUGUGAAAACUCGGGGCUUAACCCCGGGCCUGCAGUGGGUACGGGCAGACUAGAGUGCGGUAGGGGAGACUGGAAUUCCUGGUGUAGCGGUGAAAUGCGCAGAUAUCAGGAGGAACACCGGUGGCGAAGGCGGGUCUCUGGACAGUUACUGACGCUGAGGCACGAAGGCCAGGGGAGCAAACGGG
rnacentral:rRNA from 1 species